AUACUUGUCACCUGGCAGAGGUGACAGCAUAGUCACAGAGGGGGUUUUCCCAGGGUGAGGCUUAGCCAUUUCUCUCUGGAUGUGCUGACUCCUGCAGUUUCCUUGGGGCCAGGAAACCGCAUAGUUUGUGGGAGUGCGGGACUAUGCUCAUUCUCUCCCC